rnacentral:lncRNA from 1 species
GUGUCAUCUUCUCUAUCACAAUUCACAAUUCCCUGCAGAUAUUUCCUAUUUCAGUUCCCGCGUCCCGUCCCCCACACACAGUCACACAGAAUGGCAGCGGCAGUGAAUUGCUACCUCUCAGUGACUUCAACAGCCACACCCACAUCUCAAGAUUCUCCACAGCCAACAAUCACUAGGCCGCCGACCAAGAUCAUACUGCCCAAUAAAAAGCCUAUGAAAUGGUCUACAGGGGUGGCUCCGGGUGAGUAUGGGGGCCCACCCACCACAACGAAGCUCAGGAAAUACUGGGGUGGAGAUGAGGACCCUCUUGCCUCUGAUGAAUACUUGUGGAACAAAGACUUCAUGGGUCGAAUGAAAAAGUUCAUUCAAGACCCCGUCGAUGUCGACACUAAUUCUGACCCUCGAUUCUCAUCUGCGAAGGUCCAGUAUUUGGCCAAUUGAUUAUUUUUGGUUUGUCAUUAUCUGGGUUUUUUUGAGUGAUUUAUAUUGUGGGUUUUAUUUUUGCUGUUGCUUUUGUAUGAGAAAUUAGUAAAAAUGGGGAUUUUUUGAGAUUUAUUGUUUUGGAAUUUGGAACUUGGAUAAUACUGCUUGUUGAACAUUGUAUAGGGAUGUCUAGGGUCAUUUUUUCCCCUUCUUUUCACAGAGAAUUUCUAGAAUGUUCUGCUUGUCUAAUUAAUUGACUGUUCUACGAAGUACUGCUGAUCUAAUUUUGCGGUUUCAUUCCGAAACUGUUUGUUCUGAUUUUACCACAGAUCGAAUUUUUAUUGCUUUUAGUUGAUGAAUAUAUUGUCCAGGUAUCAGCACUGAAUUUGAUAAAUUAUACUGUUUUGGUAUGUUUCUGAACAGGAAGAGCCUUGUGGAUUUCUUAGCUUGAACAGAGUGAUGAGCUUGGACAGGUGCACAACCUUUUAUUUUUGGAAAUUGUUAUUUUAUUUUGUCUUGAAUUCCUAUACUGCUUUCCCGUGUAAUAGUCCCACUCUUUGAGGAUGCAGUUUGGAAAUUGACUUGAGCAAAGAGUUAACAGCGACUUCAAGAUCUGCGGUUGAACCACGAGUUGAAGAAAUUCAAGUGUGACAGAUUUUAAGUUCCCUUUGAAAAAAUGGUCUGUAAAACUAGUUUGCAUUUGUUAUUUUCCAUACUCAUCAGGAUUGAAAUAAUUUGUAGAGUAAUAGCAUUGCUUCUCGAAAAUGGAGACCAGCCCCAACACGACGUGAGCUAGAGAAGUGGGACAGAGCUACUAAAGCUGCAACUGGAGGCAGUGUAUGUAGUUUCAUUUUGGAUAUACAAUUUUCUUCUCAUCUUAUAUGCUUAAACUUCUGUUUGUUUAAAACAAAUUGCUGAUUUUCGAGCUGAAUAUAUAUAUUGUAUUUUUUAAGAAAUCCUUUUACGUUAAUCCAAGUUUUCUUGUUCUGCAGGAAGUGAUGUUUAGGGAAUCAAAGCGUCCCAGAGGGGACCCAGAAGUGUUGGCUGCUCAGUCAAGGGAACAGUACUAUAAGGUUUUUUGAAGAAAAUAUUAGCUUCUACAUCCUUAAGAUCUUUAGUUGGAAGUUCCAAUCUCUCCUUUUAAUGUUUUUGCAGUUGAAGAAUAAAUUGCAGUUCCUCACACUGGGCAUUGGUGGUGUUGGUGUAAUCUCAGCGUAUUGUUCUUAUUCUCCAGAAAUUGCAGCAAGGUAAG